rnacentral:tRNA from 1 species
GGGUUGGUAGCUCAGCUGGGGAGCGUCGCGUUCGCAAUGCGAAGGUCGGAGUUCGAUCCUCCUCCACUCCACCA